rnacentral:rRNA from 1 species
UACGGAAGGCAGCAGUGGGGAAUAUUGCACAAUGGGCGAAAGCCUGAUGCAGCUAUGCCGCGUGUAUGAAGAAGGCCUUAGGGUUGUAAAGUACUUUCAUCGGGGAGGAAAAACAAAACUAAUAAUUUUAUUUCUUGACGUUACCCGAAAAAGAAGCACCGGCUAACUCCGUGCCAGCAGCCGCGGUAAUACGGAGGGUGCUAGCGUUAAUCAGAAUUACUGGGCGUAAAGAGCACGUAGGUGGUUUUUUUAAAGUCAGAUGUGAAAUCCCUGGGCUUAACCUGGAACUGCAUUUUGAAACUGAAAUACUAGAGUAUCGUAGAGGGAGGUAGAAUUCUAGGUGUAGCGGUGAAAUGCGUAGAUAUCUGGAGGAAUACCUGUGGCGAAAGCGGCCUCCUAAACGAAUACUGACACUGAGGUGCGAAAGCGUGGGGAGCAAACAGGGAUUAGAUA